UACGGGGGGGGCAAGCGUUGUUCGGAAUUACUGGGCGUAAAGGGCUCGUAGGCGGCCAACUAAGUCGGACGUGAAAUCCCCAGGCUCAACCUGGGAACUGCGUCCGAUACUGGAUGGCUUGAAUUCGGGAGAGGGAUGCAGAAUUCCAGGUGUAGCGGUGAGAUGCGUAGAUAUCUGGAGGAAUACCGGUGGCGAAGGCGGCAUCCUGGACCGACAUUGACGCUGAGGAGCGAAAGCUAGGGGAGCAAACGGG
rnacentral:rRNA from 1 species